GUGACAUUGUUCAACGGCCGCGGUAUCCUAACCGUGCGAAGGUAGCGUAAUCACUUGUUCUUUAAAUGAGGACUAGUAUGAAAGGCAUCACGAGAGUCAUACUGUCUCCUUUCUCUAAUCAGUGAAACUAAUCCCCCCGUGAAGAAGCGGGGAUAGAAAUAUAAGACGAGAAGACCCUAUGGAGCUUUAAACAUAUGAUAUAUGCCCUUUUAACUUCAAAUUUCAGAAAAAUCUCUUAUCUUGGUAUAAUAACUAAUAGUUUUUGGUUGGGGUGACCACGGAAUAAAAAACAACUUCCACAAUGAAAGAUUCUCCUUCACUAAGUUAAGGACUACAGCCCUAUACAUCAAUAAAUUGACAUAAUUGACCCA
rnacentral:rRNA from 1 species